UGAAAUAGCUCAGUUGGUAGAGCACUUCACUCGUAAUGAAGGGGUCGUGGGUUCGAAUCCCAUUUUCA
rnacentral:tRNA from 1 species